UGGGCUCGAAGCGCAGUGGACAGCGGUAGAAAUAUCGUUUUCCCGCAAGGGACUGCUGCGUAGGUGCUGCAUGGCUGUCGUCAGCUCGUGUCGUGAGAUGUUGGGUUAAGUCCCGCAACGAGCGCAACCCUUAUUGCCAGUUGCCAUCAUUAAGUUGGGCACUCUGGCGAAACUGCCCCGGAUAACGGGGAGGAAGGUGGGGAUGACGUGGAACGGUUGGUU
rnacentral:misc_RNA from 1 species